rnacentral:rRNA from 1 species
AUUGAACGCUGGCUGCAGGCCUAACACAUGCAAGUCGAGCGGAGCGGCGGACGGGCGAGUAAUGCCUAGGCAUCUGCCCGGGCGUGGGGGUGAACGUCAGGAAACGGGCGCUAAUACCGCCUAUUAUCAGAUGAGCAUAGGUCGGGGUGACUAGUGGGUGGGGUAAGGGCCUACCAAGGCGACGAUCCGUAACUGGUCUGCGAGGAUGAUCAGUCACACUGGAACUGAGACACGGUCCGGACUCAUACGGGAGGCAGCAGUGGGUAGUAUGAGACGAUGGGCGAAAGCCUGUUCCUGCCAUGCCGCGUGUGUGAAGAAAGGCUUCGGAUUGUUAAGCACUUUAAGUUGGGAAGCGUUACCAACAGAAUAAGCACCGGCUAACUUCGUGCCAGCAGCCGCGGUAAGAC